GUCUGACGGAGCAACGCCGCGUGAGUGAUGAAGGUUUUCGGAUCGUAAAGCUCUGUUGUUAGGGAAGAACAAGUGCAAGAGUAACUGCUUGCACCUUGACGGUACCUAACCAGAAAGCCACGGCUAACUACGUGCCAGCAGCCGCGGUAAUACGUAGGUGGCAAGCGUUGUCCGGAAUUAUUGGGCGUAAAGGGCUCGCAGGCGGUUUCUUAAGUCUGAUGUGAAAGCCCCCGGCUCAACCGGGGAGGGUCAUUGGAAACUGGGAAACUUGAGUGCAGAAGAGGAGAGUGGAAUUCCACGUGUAGCGGUGAAAUGCGUAGAGAUGUGGAGGAACACCAGUGGCGAAGGCGACUCUCUGGUCUGUAACUGACGCUGAGGAGCGAAAGCGUGGGGAGCGAACAGGAUUAGAUACCCUGGUAGUCCACGCCGUAAACGAUGAGUGCUAAGUGUUAGGGGGUUUCCGCCCCUUAGUGCUGCAGCUAACGCAUUAAGCACUCCGCCUGGGGAGUACGGUCGCAAGACUGAAACUCAAAGGAAUUGACGGGGGCCCGCACAAGCGGUGGAGCAUGUGGUUUAAUUCGAAGCAACGCGAAGAACCUUACCAGGUCUUGACAUCCUCUGACAACCCUAGAGAUAGGGCUUUCCCUUCGGGGACAGAGUGACAGGUGGUGCAUGGUUGUCGUCAGCUCGUGUCGUGAGAUGUUGGGUUAAGUCCCGCAACGAGCGCAACCCUUGAUCUUAGUUGCCAGCAUUCAGUUGGGCACUCUAAGGUGACUGCCGGUGACAAACCGGAGGAAGGUGGGGAUGACGUCAAAUCAUCAUGCCCC
rnacentral:rRNA from 1 species